AUCGCAGUCUGCAACUCGACUGCGUGAAGUCGGAAUCGCUAGUAAUCGCGGAUCAGCAUGCCGCGGUGAAUACGUUCUCGGGCCUUGUACACACCGCCCGUCACACCAUGAGAGUCGGGAACACCCGAAGUCCGUAGCCUAACCGCAAGGGGGGCGCGGCCGAAGGUGGGUUCGAUAAUUGGGGUGAAGUCGUAACAAGGUAUC
rnacentral:rRNA from 1 species